rnacentral:rRNA from 1 species
AAAUUGAAGAGUUUGAUCAUGGCUCAGAUUGAACGCUGGCGGCAGGCCUAACACAUGCAAGUCGAGCGGUAGCACAGAGAGCUUGCUCUCGGGUGACGAGCGGCGGACGGGUGAGUAAUGUCUGGGAAACUGCCUGAUGGAGGGGAUAACUACUGGAAACGGUAGCUAAUACCGCAUAACGUCGCAAGACCAAAGUGGGGGACCUUCGGGCCUCAUGCCAUCAGAUGUGCCCAGAUGGGAUUAGCUAGUAGGUGGGGUAACGGCUCACCUAGGCGACGAUCCCUAGCUGGUCUGAGAGGAUGACCAGCCACACUGGAACUGAGACACGGUCCAGACUCCUACGGGAGGCAGCAGUGGGGAAUAUUGCACAAUGGGCGCAAGCCUGAUGCAGCCAUGCCGCGUGUGUGAAGAAGGCCUUCGGGUUGUAAAGCACUUUCAGCGGGGAGGAAGGCGAUAAGGUUAAUAACCUUGUCGAUUGACGUUACCCGCAGAAGAAGCACCGGCUAACUCCGUGCCAGCAGCCGCGGUAAUACGGAGGGUGCAAGCGUUAAUCGGAAUUACUGGGCGUAAAGCGCACGCAGGCGGUCUGUCAAGUCGGAUGUGAAAUCCCCGGGCUCAACCUGGGAACUGCAUUCGAAACUGGCAGGCUAGAGUCUUGUAGAGGGGGUAGAAUUCGGUGUAGCGGUGAAAUGCGUAGAGAUCUGGAGGAAUACCGGUGGCGAAGGCGGCCCACGGACAAAGACUGACGCUCAGGUGCGAAAGCGUGGGGAGCAAAACAGGAUUAGAUACCCCGGUAGUCCACGCCGUAAACGAUGUCGAUUUGGAGGUUGUGCCCUUGAGGCGUGGCUUCCGGAGCUAACGCGUUAAAUCGACCGCCUGGGGAGUACGGCCGCAAGGUUAAAACUCAAAUGAAUUGACGGGGCCCGCACAAGCGGUGGAGCAUGUGGUUUAAUUCGAUGCAACGCGAAGAACCUUACCUGGUCUUGACAUCCACAGAACUUUCCAGAGAUGGAUUGGUGCCUUCGGGAACUGUGAGACAGGUGCUGCAUGGCUGUCGUCAGCUCGUGUUGUGAAAUGUUGGGUUAAGUCCCGCAACGAGCGCAACCCUUAUCCUUUGUUGCCAGCGGUUAGGCCGGGAACUCAAAGGAGACUGCCAGUGAUAAACUGGAGGAAGGUGGGGAUGACGUCAAGUCAUCAUGGCCCUUACGACCAGGGCUACACACGUGCUACAAUGGCAUAUACAAAGAGAAGCGACCUCGCGAGAGCAAGCGGACCUCAUAAAGUAUGUCGUAGUCCGGAUUGGAGUCUGCAACUCGACUCCAUGAAGUCGGAAUCGCUAGUAAUCGUAGAUCAGAAUGCUACGGUGAAUACGUUCCCGGGCCUUGUACACACCGCCCGUCACACCAUGGGAGUGGGUUGCAAAAGAAGUAGGUAGCUUAACCUUCGGGAGGGCGCUUACCACUUUGUGAUUCAUGACUGGGGUGAAGUCGUAACAAGGUAACCGUAGGGGAACCUGCGGUUGGAUCACCUCCUUACCUUAAAGAA